GUGAACUUGAUUUAAUCUAUGUGUCCUAGAACCAGCUCAGGCCACACCCACCAAUGUCAUCUAGACAAUGGUCGGCAACAGCACCCACGUGGGCCCCCUACUGACUGGGAGUUCCGGUCAGCUUGCUGUGAAAAACCUGUGAAAUUGAGCAAGCUGUUUCCUGCCCCUGGCCUUUUGUGUCCUCGCCUAGAAAAUGUGUAUAUCCUCAAGCAAUAUCACACAGCAGGUGCUCAAGGACCAAGAGCCAGAGAGGAGCCCGGCUUGCUUAUGAUUGUUGUGGGGAGUAGUGAGCGGCAGUUACUGGAAGUUGUGUCUGUGGGCCUAUGGUGGAAAGAUACUAAGGUAGAAAGGCUUUCAGGGCCUGAAGGUGGGGAAGACUUGGGACCACCGACAUGCUGAUCCCUGGACACUCCCUGCCCUGCCUUGUCGCUGCUUGCUCCCUCUGGCCCCCCUCCUCCCAGUCUCUUUCUUCAGCUGCAGAUGCCAACUGGGCAAAGGGAGUGGUGCUGCUCUGUGCCUCCUGGCCUUUGCCUUCUGGUCCCUGUAACCAGAGACAUGGAUCCCGGUGUGUAGCCUGCAUUCUGUCUGAGCAUCCCAGGGGGAUCCCAGGCUUUGUGGAUCCAGCAUCCGCAGCAUCAACUGACACAGAGAAGUCAAGUCAGGCAGCUCCGCCCCAAGUCCCGUUGCCAGAAGGCACUGAAUGAGGAGUGCAGGAGCCACUGGGUCCUGCCCUUCAGUGAUGCCCAGGCCAGCCUGCCCCAGGGAUUUAGCCAGCGGGCACUGUGGAAAUGCAAGAGCCAAUUCUUGGUCAGAAAUGAGUUUGAAUCCAAGAUUUGCCUCCCAUUCACCAUGUGGUCUUGGGCAGAUGUUCAUCCUGUCUGAGCCUUGAUUUCCUCACGUGGAGAGUCAGCACACGGGUUUCAUCCGAUCACGCGUAUGGUGUCCUCAGCAUGACGCCUGAUCCGUGCUCAUCAGGUCAUCCUCAUGUCGGUUCUCUUCUCCUCAUGUUCACAGCCAGUGUCACCUUCGCUUAGCUUUAUUUCCCUGCUCUGGACACUUCUGUGCGUCGUGCAAAGCCUUCAGCAAUUCCUUCUGCGAGCUGCGCCCAGAAGCUCCAGGGCCAGUGUUCUUUCCCCUCACUGUGCCUGUGCUGCUCCCUGAAGGUCUUUCUCCUGCUCCUUUUCUCUGGAGAAUCUCCAGGUGAGCUCCACCAAAGCCAAGGGAGCCUCUCCCCCCUUGCUGCCCUUCAGCGCUGUGGCUUCGGGGAUUAUCCCUAUGCAGAUGACUCCCUGGAGGAAUCAUCCCCAUGAAGCCAUGGGUGCCUGACGACAGGAAACACCACCUCAGAACCCAGCAAGGCAAUGGGGCAACGAAGCAUCCACCUCCAGCUGUCAGAAAAUGUCCAAGUCAGAAUCACUGCAGGCUAGAGUUGCAAGAGACCAUCCUAAACCUCUCACUCCUCACUUCUGCAUUCAAGGGAAUUACGGCACAGAGAAUGGAGCUGGUUGCUCGAAGUCACCAGAGCUGGAAGCAUAACCAAGGCUUCUUCAUUCACAACGUGGGAAUGUUUCUCUAUGUCCAUAAUGCAGGAAUUCCGCCUGCCCAGCACUUUCUAUUGCUCAGUAUACUUUAAAAUACAGAAUGAAAAAGAAGGGUGUCAGGAAAGGCUGUUGGCCCAGUCAAAUUAAUUCCAGUUUGGGAUGUUUCGGGAGCAGUUUUUCAGCUUUUGAUGCUAUAGUAACUUUCAAGAAGAAGCGCAGAAAAUAUGAUUUCAGACCCAAGCACUGAGGAAGAGCAAGAGGCUUCCCUAGAGCAGCAGGACAUUGUACUCUUAUCUCCUGGGCUCACAGAGGAAGAAAAGCUCGGAUUUAGACCCAGGUGAUGCAUUGGGAGGAGAAGGGCAGGGGCCCAUGGCUCAGAUACUGAGGCAGAAUUCAGCAUGACUGCACGAGGGGGCCUGAAGACGGUCCUCUUGUGACACCUGGCAGUUGUUCAGCGGCAUCUUCCAGAUGAAGAGAAGUUUGCAGGUCCUGAUCUCCUCAUGCCAGAGGCCCUGGCCCAGGCCUCUCCGCUCCUCUGCCUCUUGUCGCUUCUUCUUCUCCAGUGCCGGGCCUUUGGGUACCAUCUUGUUGUGAAUGACUCCAUCCCCAGGCCUCUGACCAGUGUGUCCACCUGUCCACCUGACAUCUCCCCUCCAAGGGCUAAUAGUAACGUCCAAACUGUGCUCUGGCUUUUCCUAACUCACACAGGCCCCGCCUCCAGCCCGCCUCCUUGUCUACCUGCUCCAUCCUUCUCUGAUUUAGGUCAAACCUUCCAGUCCUCUUGGGCAGUUCUCCUCCUGCCCCCAUGCAGUCUGUCAGGAAACACUGUUAAUUUUGCUUGCAAAACAGAGUGAUGGGCUGACCAUUUUCCACCGCUUCCACUGCCACAACUUUGCUCCAUGCUAUGCAUCUUCCACCUAGAUGACUGCAUUUGCCUUCUAAAUGAUCUUCCAGAUUCCACCCUUGACUCCUACAGCCAGCCAGAGUGGUCUCUUUAAAAACCAGAGUCAGGUCACAUGACACCUCUGCUCAAAGCCACUAGUAUGUCCCCUUCUUGCACAGAGUAAAAGCCCAAAAGCGGACCCUGUUAGUUACCCCUCUGCUACCCUCGCCUCUCCUUUCCCGGCUCAGUCUGCACCAGCCAGGUUGGCUCCUCCUGCCCUGCUACCUCUUCUCCCAGAUCUCCACAUGGGAGAAUCCUCAAUUCCUUCAUGUCUUUGCUUUGUUCAGCUGUCACCUCCUUAAGGAAGCCCAUCUUAUUUAAACCAACGCCUGCCAUCACUGCCCCCCAGCACCUUGGAGCCCCCUUAUCAGGCACUACUUUUUUUCCCAAAGCGUCUAUCAUCUUCUAACACACCGUAUGAGUUCCUUAUUUUCUGUCCUUGUUGCAUUGUGAAUCGUCUGAUUAUUCCCAUCUACAAUGCAAAUCUGUGAAGCCAGGGGCUUUAGGUUUGCCAACUGAUGGAUCCCAGGUGCCUCAAACGGUGACUGACAUAUAGGAAGUGAGACUCUAAAUGCUGUGGAAUGAAUGAAUGAUGGUUCCUGAGAGGGAGGGGCCCCAUAGCCUGGGAAAGAGAAAAGGUGAGACAAGUUUAAAUGUGGGGAAUAUUUGGAGGAAAGUUAGGGUGGAUAAGGCAUCUGGGGAGGGGUUUAGGAGUUAAAGAUGGCAGGUUACAGGUGAAACGCCCUCGUGGAUUACACUGAGGCUAACACUGUAGACUCUUUCCAAAUAGACCAUAUCCCUGGGAAUAUAUGUCUUGUGAUGUGAGUAUGACUCAAAAUACCUGGGAAGGCCCGGGGCAGGGCCCAGGGAUGCAGGAUUUUCUGAAGGAUCCCAUAGGGUUGGGAAGAAAAUGCUGGGGCUGCCCAUAAGCUGCUAAUGCCCUAGAGGCAGAACCAUCUAGUGGGAGGGAGCGACCUCUGAGGAUCGGUGGUGUUGCUCAGUUGAGCUGCCGUCCCUCACACUGGCUGGGAUGUGAGCGCAGAGUCAAGCCGUGUGCUUUCAGAGCAGGUGCCUCGAGGCCUCAGAGUUGUGGGCCGUGGGAAGCGUGUGUGUGCUGGCUUUGAUCCGGUUGUACCUGUUGGCCAUCUGUAUGGGUCUAAGCGUACCUGGGAAACAGGGCUCUCGACUGUGGGUUGUUAAGUUAUAAUUAGACUAACCAAAAGGUCUUGGUUGGAGACGAGGCCCUCCGAGUGACACCAGCAGUAACUUUGGAAGGAAUGUCGUUUGCCUGGGUGCCACAGUUCCUCCCAUUCCACAGUGCUUUACCAGUUUAUAUAGAGUUUUUAAAUAGAUGCUCUUAUUUGAGCUUCAAAACACACCGCUGUAAAUACCACAUUCCUCUGACAGAUGAAAAAACAGAGUCUCUGGGCAUGUUGGUAACGCUUUGACAGGAAGCAGCAGCAAGACUCAACAAUCUGCCAGUUUUCUGACUUCAAGUCCAGCUUUCUCCUCUCCCAAACCGCCUUUCUGCCUUGGGGGAUGUUAUGUUUGUUCUUUUGGUUCGGAAGCCAUCAGUUGUGUGGGAGAGGGAGAAAGUGGCUCUGAAAUAGGUGUUGGGUCUCAGGACACUUCCUCUUGCUGUCAGUCACAUGCACGGUUGCCACCCUGUCCCCCGACAACCCUUCAGUGGGACUUCAAAGCCACAAAUGCCUCAGCCUGGAGCAUCUCAGCGUGGGAGGACACAGGGGCAGUGGAACUCUCAGGGUGGCUGAUUAUUGCUUAUUUAGAAAGUGGAAAAAACCCUGUGGUUAUUUAAGAUAUCAAUUACAGAACGUAAGUUCUGAGUAAGUCGUGGCUAGUGGCAGUACACCAGGAGGGACAGGUGAGGUUUCUGUUUACCAAAAGGCAUUGUGGAGUACAGAAACCAGGAAUUCUGGCCUAGCAGGAAGUGAGCUGGCCCCAGGAGGGCUAGGCUGACUCUGAGGCACUGGAAAGGUACUUAAUCUCUCCAUCAUCACCUUUAGCAUCAGCAAAUUGGGGAUGAGAAUUCUUACCUGUCAAAUUUAAAGGGUAGUUUAGAGUUAAGUCAGAUAAAUGCAAAGUGGCUUGUAAAUAGAAAACCACUAUUCCAAUGUCAGGAGCUGCUAGAUGGGUUCAGGCCCCCUCCCUAUCCCCAACAGAGCCCCCUUUUCUGUAUAAAUUUUAUAUUCUAGAAAAUGCUUUUUUGUUGCUUUUUCUUUUUCUUUAAAGACAUGAAUAGUUUGGGACAAGAUGGCAGACUGAGUGAUAGGGGCCUUGCUGACUGCAGGAAGAACCCACAGGACCCCCGGAGCUGCAGCGGCCUCUGUACAGGGGCAGCUUGCUGUCAGCUUUCUGCGUUUCCCUGCUGUGGAGCUCUCGGCCCCUCUGCAUAGAUGUUCACGUGGCUCUGCACUGCUGUCUCGAAAGGAGACCUGAGGGCAGAGCCCACUGCUGCCCUGUCUUUCCUGUUUCUCUCCCUGCAGCGUCUCCCACGGCUGAACACUGCAUGGCACAAGCUCUGGGUACGGAAGCUCUGGCCUUUAUGUGCAUGAGUGGGAACAGCAACUUGGGGCUCAUCCAGCUGCAAAACUGGGGUCCAUUCAGAAAGGGGAGAGGAGUCUCAGAUCAUGAGUAGGAAGACUGAUGUAGAAAAAUGAUCUGAGGAUUUACUGGGAGAAGUUAAGAGAGAGUGCACAUACACACAUACACUCACACACAUACACACAUGCGUGCACACACGCACACAUGCUGACACACACAGACGUGCACUCACAUAUACACACACACACAUACACACACACGGGACAAAGACAGUUCUCAGAGACACAGGGAGACAGAGGGGCCAUGGUCUCUGGAGCUACAGGGUGAGCAGGGUUGGGGCACCAGGCUACAGCGGGGGACAUAUGACAAGUGUAACAACCGCUCUCCAUAGUCCAUCUGCUGAAAGAGGAGCAGACAGGGGCUUCUAAUCUGGAAGAAUCUGGCAGGCAGGAUAACAUGGCAGUGUAACUGACUGGGAGCAAAAGAUGGAGUGGAGAGAGGAGUAAGGGUGCACGGAGGAGCUGGGGGUGGUGGGCUGGGUAGUUCCAAACAUCUCAGAUCAAAACUCUAAAGCGUCUGCUCUGUGCUGUUAUUCAAUGGUUCAGUGCAUCAAAAGUCUGUGCAAACAUUACCAAGUCUCUUCAUUAAGGAAAAAUAAUGACAAAAAAAUUAAACAACACAUGUUAAAGACCGCAAGAAGGCUUGCCUAUAGAUAAAGAGAGAUUUAAACAUGCCAGGUAACAGCAAAGACAUGUGCAGAAACUGGUAGGAACUGUAUAGGAGGAGGCACCUCUUGGGAGAAGGAGGUGGCAGGAGGCCUUGCAGAGGCUGGGGUUCUGUCUGAGGCUAGGGAGCCAGAGGCAGGGGUGUGAGAGGUCAGGGGUCGAGGACACGGGUGGCAGGUGCAUGUGGGAGUGAGGCGCUCACAUGGGGCCGGCUUCCACAGCAACCAGGAGGAAAGGCCCACCCAGAGCGGCUCUCAGUAGGUCACCCGCCACCUCUAGAGAAGAGUCCAGACAUGACUGAGUCUCCCCUUCGCAUUCCUCUUCCAAAUGAGCCUGCAGGGACCUGGAUGCCUGCAUGGGCUGCUGAUGUUAAAUGAAAACAGAGCCCAUUCAACCCAAGAUCGUGGGUGGUCCUUGGGUGAGGGUGGGCUAUGGCUGACGAUGUAGGCUGAGUCUUAGCCUUAACUCAGGGUGUUCCACUUUGAGAGAGCUCCCUUCUAAGAUGCUAUGGGGAUGGAAAGGAGAGAGUAGGCAAGGCAGUGGCUGGAGGAGAAGGUGGAGGUCAGAAGAGGUUUGGGUCCCUGCCCCAGCAGCUGCCAGAGUGGCAAACAUCCCCUCAUGUUCUCACUCCACAGCUCCCAGAGCUGCUUCCUCCGAUACAGUGUGAGUCAUGCCAGGCUGAUUGUACGGGAGAGAGAAAAGAUGCAGCAAUCAGAACUUAACAGAAAAGGGGAAGGCCUAACGCGUUCCAAAGUUUAAAAAAAAAAAAAGAUUUCAAAAUAAA